AGCUGAGGCAGAAGUCUCUCACUGGAGAUCCCUGCCUACUAGAGGCUUUCCAAAGCCAACACGCAUACUGAGAACUUCUGGAAGACUUCACUUCAUGAUGACAAGACUCAACUAUUUCAGGUUGCUUUCCUCACUCUUCACCUGGGAGAGAAAAAGAUAAAGAUCUGUAUAAAAUCCAUGCCAGACUCGAGGAUGCCUUCAACCAAGCUGCAAUCACUGAAAUGUUGCAAUAAAUCAGAGGGCAGCAAAUCUAUUGCACUGAAUGCUUUCUAAGCAAGUAAUCUGCUACAAUGGAACAGCUCUCCCAACUGCUACAGCAGACUAAAUAAAACUCUGAUAAUAACGUAACAAAUGUUCUAGUGUUGUCUUUGUUUUUCAUGUGUCUCUAGUUUCUACUACAAGGGUCCUGGGACCAGCUGCAUG